rnacentral:rRNA from 1 species
AGUGAACGCUGGCGGUAGGCCUAACACAUGCAAGUCGAACGGCAGCACAGUAAGAGCUUGCUCUUACGGGUGGCGAGUGGCGGACGGGUGAGGAAUACAUCGGAAUCUACUUUUUCGUGGGGGAUAACGUAGGGAAACUUACGCUAAUACCGCAUACGACCUACGGGUGAAAGCAGGGGAUCUUCGGACCUUGCGCGAUUGAAUGAGCCGAUGUCGGAUUAGCUAGUUGGCGGGGUAAAGGCCCACCAAGGCGACGAUCCGUAGCUGGUCUGAGAGGAUGAUCAGCCAAACUGGAACUGAGACACGGUCCAGACUCCUACGGGAGGCAGCAGUGGGGAAUAUUGGACAAUGGGCGCAAGCCUGAUCCAGCCAUACCGCGUGGGUGAAGAAGGCCUUCGGGUUGUAAAGCCCUUUUGUUGGGAAAGAAAAGCAGCAGGUUAAUACCCCGCUGUUCUGACGGUACCCAAAGAAUAAGCACCGGCUAACCUCGUG